UCCAGAACGUACAUGGUCUGAAAGAAGGUUGGGCAUGGAUUGCAAGGUUCUUGAACACUCUUUCUGCUAAUCGAUAUACGGGUGUUGCUCUGUAUGCAUUCCUGGAAAUGGCAGGCUUUGCUCUCUUCAGAAAAUACAAAUCUCAAUUCAUGACAAUGCUUAGCAUCAUCUCUAACGACUUUCUGGAAGCAUUGAAAGCACGUGAAGAGCCCGGGUUAAGGGCAACCGUCGUCAGGAUCCAAUCCUACAUGGAAGACAAAAGGUUCCUCGAGGAGCCAGAGGGAAGGGUCUGCAAGGUUCUUUGCUAUCAAGUGUUCUGGUGCCGGGAAUGGAGGAUGAAAAUGAUGGGAUUUGAUUUGAUUUUCAAGAACUACAUGUAUAUUAGCCAUUUUUCUGAUUUGAUUUGAGUUUUAAUAAGAGAAUGUGUCGUUUGAAGUUGCAAAGUAUUUUGUAUGUGGACCAAUGUGCUUGUGAAAUUUGUUAAGAAAGGUUGUGUAGAUGAGUCAAAUUGUUUUGAUGAAUGACUCCAGUAUAGAUUCAAUUGAAAUUGUCAGGUUCAACUCA